GACGAACGCGGGCGGCGUGCCUAAUACUUGCAAGUCGAACGAGAGCGACCGGUGCUUGCACUGGUCAAUCUAGUGGCGAAGGGGUGAGUAACACGUGGGUAACCUCCCCAUCAGAGGGGGAUAACAUUUGGAAACGGAUGCUAAAACCGCAUAGGUUCGUGAGUCGCAUGACUGAAGAAGGAAAAGAGGCUUCGGCUUCUGCUGAUGGAGGGACCCGCGGUGCAUUAGCUAGUUGGUGAGGUAACGGCUCACCAAGGCCGUGAUGCAUAGCCGACCUGAGAGGGUGAUCGGCCACAUUGGGACUGAGACACGGCCCAAACUCCUACGGGAGGCAGCAGUAGGGAAUCUUCCGCAAUGGACGCAAGCUUUGACCGGAGC
rnacentral:rRNA from 1 species